AGGGCACCACCAGGAGUGGAGCCUGCGGCUUAAUUUGACUCAACACGGGGAAACUUACCCGGCCUGGACACUGGAAGGAUUGACAGAUUGAGAGCUCUUUCUUGAUUCAGUGGGUGGUGGUGCAUGGCCGUUCUUAGUUGGUGGAGCGAUUUGUCUGGUUAAUUCCGAUAGCGAACGAGACUCUAGCCUAUUAAAUAGGCUCCCGGCUUUUAAACGCCGGGAGGACUUCUUAGAGGGACAGGGGGCGGUUCAGCCGCACGAAAGAGAGCAAUAACAGGUCUGUGAUGCCCUUUGUUGUCCGGGGCCGCACGCGCGCUACACUGAAGAGAUCAGCGUGCUUUACGUUCCUGCUCCGACCGGAGUGGGGAACCCAGUGAACCUUCUUCGUGAUUGGGAUAGAAGAUUGUAAUUAUUCUUCUUGAACGAGGAAUUCCCAGUAAAUGCGAGUCAUAAGCUCGCGUUGAUUACGUCCCUGCCCUUUGUACACACCGCCCGUCGCUACUACCGAUUGAACGAUUU
rnacentral:rRNA from 1 species